AAGACCUCAAAUGAAAAAGUUUUGAAUACAGAGGAGUUAGAGCUCAUUAAGCUCUACCUUUCAUACAAUAUGCAAUAUGCAUUUGAAAUUAAAAAUAAUAUAAAAAUAAUAUAUAGGUGUGAAACAAUAUAAUUAUAUUAUUAUAUCAUUAUACAAAUAAUAUAUAAACAAUAUAAUUAUGUCACAAAUAUAGAAUAUAUAAAAAAUUAUGUUAAAAUAUUAUUAUAUUAUAGUAUGAAUAUACAAUAAAAAACAGUUACCAAAAAUAUAGAAAACAAAAAUAAUAAAAAAAUUACAAAAAUCUUUGUACAGGCGGUUGGCAUUGACAACCGCCUGUAUAGAGCUAUUUCUACAGGCGGUGGUCAAUGCCUGUAGAAAUGGAGGCCAUAUAAAGGCCGCGCCCUACCCCCAAAACUUUCUAAGUCUGAAGGCGCGCCAUUCGUUCGAAUUCACGCCGGCAGGCUGCCAACGCCGCCGCACCGCCCUUCUCCAUCUACUCCGCCACCGGUCACGUGCGCCGCCGUCUUCCUCUUCGCGCCGCGCCGAGCUCCGGUCAAACUGCUCCACCGUUUUCCUCUCCCCGCCGUGCUCCCGUCG
rnacentral:lncRNA from 1 species